AGUGAGGAAUAUUGGUCAAUGGACGAGAGUCUGAACCAGCCAAGUCGCGUGAAGGAAGACGGUUCUAUGAAUUGUAAACUUCUUUUGUGCAGGAAUAAAGUGGGUUACGUGUAACCUUUUGUAUGUACUGUACGAAUAAGGAUCGGCUAACUCCGUGCCAGCAGCCGCGGUAAUACGGAGGAUCCGAGCGUUAUCCGGAUUUAUUGGGUUUAAAGGGUGCGUAGGUGGAUUGAUAAGUCAGCGGUGAAAGUUUGCAGCUUAACUGUAAAAUUGCCGUUGAAACUGUCGGUCUUGAGUGCAAAUGAGGUAGGCGGAAUGUGUUGUGUAGCGGUGAAAUGCUUAGAUAUAACACAGAACUCCGAUUGCGAAGGCAGCUUACUGGGAUGCAACUGACACUGAUGCACGAAAGCGUGGGUAUCAAACAGGAUUAGAUACCCUGGUAGUCCACGCAGUAAACGAUGAAUACUAGCUGUAUGCGAUAUACCGUAUGUGGCACAGCGAAAGCGUUAAGUAUUCCACCUGGGGAGUACGUUCGCAAGAAUGAAACUCAAAGGAAUUGACGGGGGCCCGCACAAGCGGAGGAACAUGUGGUUUAAUUCGAUGAUACGCGAGGAACCUUACCCGGGCUUGAAAUGCAGAAGACCGAAGUGGAAACACUUCUUCCAGCAAUGGCUUCUGUGUAGGUGCUGCAUGGUUGUCGUCAGCUCGUGCCGUGAGGUGUCGGCUUAAGUGCCAUAACGAGCGCAACCCUUGCCAAUAGUUACUAUCAGGUUAUGCUGAGGACUCUAUUGGGACUGCCAUCGUAAGAUGCGAGGAAGGUGGGGAUGACGUCAAAUCAGCACGGCCCUUACGUCCGGGGCGACACACGUGUUACAAUGGGGGGUACAGAGGGUUGCUACCUGGUGACAGGAUGCUAAUCUCAUAAAUCCUCUCUCAGUUCGGAUCGAAGUCUGCAACUCGACUUCGUGAAGCUGGAUUCGCUAGUAAUCGCGCAUCAGCCAUGGCGCGGUGAAUACGUUCCCGGGCCUUGUACACACCGCCCGUCAAGCCAUGGAAGCCGAGGGUACCUGAAGUACGUGACUGCAAAGAGCGUCCUAGGGUAAAAUUGGUGACUGGGGCU
rnacentral:rRNA from 1 species